AGAGUUUGAUCAUGGCUCAGAUUGAACGCUGGCGGCAUGCCUUACACAUGCAAGUCGAACGGUAACGGGCCUUCGGGUGCCGACGAGUGGCGAACGGUGAGUAAUGCAUCGGAACGUACCUUCAGUGGGGAUAACGUAGCGAAAGUUACGCUAAUACCGCAUAUUCUGUGAGCAGGAAAGCAGGGGAUCGCAAGACCUUGCGCUGAUUGAGCGGCCGAUGUCAGAUUAGCUAGUUGGUGAGGUAAAGGCUCACCAAGGCGACGAUCUGUAGCGGGGUCUGAGAGGAUGAUCCGCCACACUGGAACUGAGACACGGUCCAGACUCCUACGGGAGGCAGCAGUGGGGAAUUUUGGACAAUGGGGGCAACCCUGAUCCAGCCAUGCCGCGUGAGUGAAGAAGGCCUUCGGGUUGUAAAGCUCUUUCGGCCGGGAAGAAAUCGUAUGGGCUAAUACCCUGUGCGGAUGACGGUACCGGCAUAAGAAGCACCGGCUAACUACGUG
rnacentral:rRNA from 1 species